UCAAAGCAUUUGGGUGGUUUAUAAGAUUUCUUGAGCUGUUGAUAAUCUCUAUUACUGGCUUGGAGUCACACUCCACUUUAAUUUUUCUUAUCCUCAAAGUCUAUGCUAGUUCCAUUCCCUUUUUUAUUCCCCACAGUUCCGCUAUAUAAGCUGUGCACCUCUCUAUGUUGAAGGAAAAUCCAGCAACCCAUUUGCCUUUUCUAUUCCUUAAGAGCCCGCCACACCCGACUUUUUUCAUGCUCCCUGCACUGUGCCAUCGGUGUUAAGCAUUAUCCACUCCUGUAUUGGUGGCAUCCAUAUUAUUUUCUGAAUCUCUUUGUUCUUGUGUUUUCGAUUCUCCACCAUUCUCUGAAAUGUUUCCUUGACUUUUGCCACUUUCUUCAUCACUUCAAGUCGAGUAUUUUGGGGCCUGUUAUAAUUUGGCUCAUGAAUUUUCUUAUUUCUCCAAUUCCACAUCUUCCAGCAUGCUAUAAUAAAUAUAUCCAUCCAAUUCUGAUUUUGGUCAUGUCCUAAUUGUUGUUGUAUGUUCAUAUCCAUCCAUUCUUCUCUAUUUGCUUGGAAGAAAAUCUAUAAUGCACUUGGCCGAAUGAGUUGCACCCAAGUACUGAAAACUUUGGGGCAGUUUCUCAGAGCAUGGAGCAGGUCUUCUUAAUGGUUUUGACAUAGCUGAUAAUCUCCUCUACUUGCAAACAUCAUUGUCUUUUUGUGAUUGAAAAAUCCCUAUCAUCCAAGUGCAUCCAUCCAAUUAUGUCUGCACCAUUUUCCUUGUUUGGGCAGGGGGAGCUCCAAAAUCUUCAUUGUUGUUUCCUUUGGGAGUAGCUUUGCAGAAAUUUUCCAUUACUCUGUUGAUUGCCUCCAUUUGGUGUGUUGAAGUAUCAGCAAACAACAGCAGAUUGUCUACGAACAUUUGGCGAGAAAUUUUCAUUUUCUUUCUUCCCACCAUGAAAGGGAUCCAAUAUCCAUGAUUCACCUCUUGCUCUAUGUACUGUGACAGUUUAUCCAUGCAAAUGACAAAUAGGUAUUUUUUCCUAGUCACUCAUCAAUUCUUCAUUUUCGGUCUCUGAUAGGUCUUCAUCGGAUGUUGCUCCAGCUCCAGUGACUAUGUUCGCAUAGAACCUCGUUCUCUAAUUCUCUACUUUAUCUUCCAUCCAAUCUUCAUGACAAGGGAUAAACGCUUGUGUGUCUGAAAACCCAUCUUUCCCUUUCCUAAUCUUCUUUUGUUUCUUGCUUGGUUCUCAUGUUCCUGUGGUGGUCGGGAGUGCUCAUUGGGGGCCCUUUCCGACCUAUCGUUGCCGGUCAUGGGCGGUGGUGGCCGUUUGAAACGUUAGCUUGUGCAGAGAAAAAACAAGGAGGGUGCUAACGGCUCCUUUCUUUUUUUAUUUGUGUUAAGUGAUAACUAAUUAACUAUACCCAUGGGCCAUGGCCCAAGACCCCAAGCUGACAAGUCUAUUUGAGUGGGGAAGAGGCCAUGCUUUUUUAAGUUGGGGGGCCACUCCUUUAUAUAUAUAUAUAAAGGGAAUUUUUUUGGGGGGCUGGAGCCUCAUGAAAUUUCGUCCCAGAUAAUUAGCAUUGGGAGAUAGGUACACGGGCUUGGGCAAAAGGAAAAAAAAUUAGCAAGACUUUAAGCCUAAUCAGGGGUAGCUCUCUUUUUCAAAUUUGAUUCUCUUCUUCAAAUAUCUGUUGCUAACCUAGAGAUAAAGAUGAGCAAGGUAAAUUAUGUUCAUUAUUUAUUAACAAGCAAAUCAUGUGACCAAAUCACUCACAUUAUUGUUGAUUCAAAAUUGAUCAACUACCUCCUCGUGUAAUUCAAUUUCAAUAAGCUAAGAGCAACUUUCUUGUUACGCAUUGUAAUUUCAUACUCUAAUGGCUUUUAAU